rnacentral:rRNA from 1 species
CUGGUUGAUUCUGCCAGUGGUCAUAUGCUUGUGUUAAAGAUUAAGCCAUGCAUGCCUUAGUAUAGGUAGAUUUAACCGAAACUGCGGAUGGCUCAAUAAACCAGUCAUAAUCAAUUUGGUGAAGCAAAGUAGAAGGAUAACCCUGCUAAUUGUAGAGCUAAUACACGACCAUGAUAUCCGAUCUCGUAUGAGAGAAGAUAGCAUUUGUCAGCUCAAUUUUCCUGUAUGGUGGUAACACCGACUACAGGAGAAGGGUGUAGGGACCCAGCCAUGCCCAUUCUAACAGACACAACACCUCUGCCCAGGAAGCAAAACAUACAAAACCGAGUCUUGCGGUGUAGCGCACACAAACCCCCGCUCCACCGUUUGUUUUAUUUCCCUUCUUUCCAAGCUCUUCCUCUUUUGGGGGAAGAGAAGAGAGAGGAGCGGAGAGGACUUAGAAGACAAGUGUAACCAAAGGGGGCUAUGGAGGUGUGGUGGGCGGCAGAUAGGGGCUUGCACCUUAGAAGCCACAGUUGCAGAGCGAUGAAUACAGACAAACGGAAUUUUCGUCUCUUGUCUCCGACUUUAUUGUGGGAGGCAAGAGAGGAGGGUUCAACAGCGGAUCGCAUUUUUUAAAGCGCGGGUGGUAACACCUGUCGCGGCGACAGACCAAACGAAUGACUGACCUAUCAAGCUGAUGGUAGGAUAGGGGCCUACCAAGCUGACCACGGGUAACGGGGAAUUAGGGUUCGAUUCCGGAGAGGGAGCCUGAGAAAUGGCUACCACUUCCAAGGAAGGCAGCAGGCGCGUAAAUUACUCGGUGCCGAGACGGCGAGGUAGUGACGACAAAUACCAAUGCCCACGGGUCCAUGUGGCCUGGGGCAAUUGGAAUGAGCACAAGAUAAAUCUCUGUGCGAGUAGCAAUUGGAGGGCAAGUCUGGUGCCAGCAGCCGCGGUAAUUCCAGCUCCAAGAGUGUAUAUUAAAGCUGUUGCGAUUAAAACGCUCGUAGUCGAAUUUGGAGGUCAAUUUAUCUUUUUUUUUUGUUUUCGCUUUUUCCGUCAAAAGAAAAAGAGACAACAAAAAAGGGGAUAAUUUAUAGAGUGUACUUUCUAGCGCCACGGGAUUUAGAAGUGAGGCGCUAUUCUCUUCUUAGGGAGAGAAGUGCUCUUUAAAGACCUCUCUGUCAUACGAACAAGUGUGGGACACGCGGGAGCUGCCCUUUGAUGGGACAUUUGCUUUAUAAACAAACUGCGCCACACAGAUUACUUUGAAGAAAAUAGAGUGUUUCAAGCAGAUCGGAAUGGAUGAUGAAUAUCAUAGCAUGGGAUAAUAAUGUGAAGACAAGGGAAGUGGGGGAAGCAAGCGCAAGCAGACCAGAGACCACAAUUUAGACCGCAGGCGUGGGCCUGUCGCCCAAUGGCAAGCACAUGCUUACUUUUACUCGGUUUUGGAGCGGGACGGUGCAUAGCCCUCUACAACAAGGGCUAUGGACAACAGAGCCAAGGUUCAGUGACGUCACGACCUCUAAUAGAGCGGGAGACAAGGAGAAGAAGACCCUUGCGGGGGGCUUCUGGACAGCCAGUGCGGUGCACAGGUACUUUGGACAGGAUACUGGGUCUUUCUUCGGAGGGACACAGGAUUUUGGCUUCUCGGCAACAACCUCUUCAGCAAAGAAUAGGAACAAACGGGGUGGUUUAUACUUUAUAGCGAGAGGUGAAAUUCUAUGAGCUAUGAAAGAUAAACAAAAGCGAAAGCAUUCCACAAGAAUGUUUCCAUUGAUCAAGAACGAAAGUUGGGGGAUCGAAGAUGAUCAGAUACCAUCGUAGUCUCAACCAUAAACUAUGCCGACCAGGGAUUGGGGGAAGGUAGCAGCAUAAAGCUUUUUUUUCUCCGGAAGAAAACGAUUUAUGAUGCGAAUCGAAAUGAGACUGGCAUUUCUAUUUAUUCUGUUUGGAUAUUUCCACUCGUUCUCCUACCCAAGGGGAAGGAGCAAAUGAUCUAGAUAGUGGAUAGAGUAUACAAUGCUUCAAGAGAAAACAAGUCUCUACUAGACUCUUCCAGCACCUAGAAGAGAAAUCGAAUAAGUGUUUGGGCUUCGGGGGGAGUAUGGUCGCAAGGCUGAAACUUAAAGGAAUUGACGGGAGGGCACACCAGGAGUGGAGCCUGCGGCUUAAUUUGACUCAACACGGGGAAACUUACCAGGGCCAGAUAGCAGGAGGAUUGACAGAUUGAGAGCUCUUUCUUGAUUUGCUAGGUGGUGGUGCAUGGUCGUUCUUAGUUGGUGGUGUGAAUUGUCUGGUUAAUUCCGAUAACGAACGAGACCUUAACUUAUUAAGUACAUCUCCGGGAUGCGGGGCUUUUUCUCUUUUUUCUUAUCCCCUUUUUUCCCUGUCUUUUCUUGUGUGCUUUCUUUUCGGAGGAGGUGCCUGGGGAGAGGCGGGGAGAGAAGGAUAGGAAAGGACAAAAGCCAAACACCACUCCCAGCUCCAGGGCAGGUCACUUUGGGCCAUUUUGUUUUGGGCUUUCUAGGGGAGCGAUUUCCUAGGAUUUCCGGGCGGGUGGUAUAGGGUGAUUCAAGCCGGGAGGCGCAAAAACGCGAGAUUUCUUAAAAGGACUAUUCGUGUUUAUAAUAAACCUAACGGAUGGAAGUUUGAGGCAAUAACAGGUCUGUGAUGCCCUUCGAUGCUCUGGGCCGCACGCGCGCUACAAUGAUGGAUUCAAGGAGUUUUUUUCUAAUAGGGGCUAUUUCAUUGUUUUCCUUUUUUGUUUUUUUCUUCGGAAAGGAGUGGAAGAGGGAAACAGAGAGAUGUGACCCUUGGAAUACCCGAGCCCGAGAGGGUGAGCAGGUAAACUUAGGAAAGUCCGUCAUACUGGGGAUAGAUGAUUGGAAUUGUUGGUCUUGAACGAGGAAUUCCUAGUAAGCGCAAGUCAACAGCUUGUGCUGAUUACGUCCCUGCCCUUUGUACACACCGCCCGUCGCUAGUACCG